rfam:Camponotus floridanus CamFlo_1.0_4.contig736, whole genome shotgun sequence.
AUCUGGAUAGCUCAGUGGUCUAGAGCAGUUGCCUGGAAAGCGAAAGACUCGGGCUUGAUUUCUGAUCCAGCCA